rnacentral:rRNA from 1 species
UACGGGGGGGGCAAGCGUUGUUCGGAAUUACUGGGCGUAAAGGGCUUGUAGGUGGCCAACUAAGUCAGACGUGAAAUCCCUCGGCUUAACCGGGGAACUGCGUCUGAUACUGGAUGGCUCGAGUGUGGGAGAGGGAUGCGGAAUUCCUGGUGUAGCAGUGAAAUGCGUAGAUAUCAGGAGGAAUACCGAUGGCGAAGGCAGGUCUCUGGGCUGACACUGACGCUCAUGCACGAAAGCGUGGGGAGCAAACAGG